rnacentral:tRNA from 1 species
GGGGAUGUGGCUCAGUGGUGGAAGUGCCUACCUGGCAUGUAUAAGGCCCUAGAUUCAAUCUCUAGCAGUACCA